GACGAACGCUGGCGGCGUGCCUAAUACAUGCAAGUAGAACGCUGAAGGAGGAGCUUGCUUCUCUGGAUGAGUUGCGAACGGGUGAGUAACGCGUAGGUAACCUGCCUGGUAGCGGGGGAUAACUAUUGGAAACGAUAGCUAAUACCGCAUAAGAGUAGAUGUUGCAUGACAUUUGCUUAAAAGGUGUAAUUGCAUCACUACCAGAUGGGCCUGCGUUGUAUUAGCUAGUUGGUGGGGUAACGGCUUACCAAGGCGACGAUACAUAGCCGACCUGAGAGGGUGAUCGGCCACACUGGGACUGAGACACGGCCCAGACUCCUACGGGAGGCAGCAGUAGGGAAUCUUCGGCAAUGGACGGAAGUCUGACCGAGCAACGCCGCGUGAGUGAAGAAGGUUUUCGGAUCGUAAAGCUCUGUUGUAAGAGAAGAACGAGUGUGAGAGUGGAAAGUUCACACUGUGACGGUAUCUUACCAGAAAGGGACGGCUAACUACGUG
rnacentral:rRNA from 1 species